GACGAACGCUGGCGGCGCGCCUAACACAUGCAAGUCGAACGAGCGAGAGAGAGCUUGCUUUCUCGAGCGAGUGGCGAACGGGUGAGUAACGCGUGAGGAACCUGCCUCAAAGAGGGGGACAACAGUUGGAAACGACUGCUAAUACCGCAUAAGCCCACGGUGCCGCAUGGCACAGAGGGAAAAGGAGCAAUCCGCUUUGAGAUGGCCUCGCGUCCGAUUAGCUAGUUGGUGAGGUAAUGGCCCACCAAGGCGACGAUCGGUAGCCGGACUGAGGGGUUGAACGGCCACAUUGGGACUGAGACACGGCCCAGACUCCUACGGGAGGCAGCAGUGGGGAAUAUUGCACAAUGGGGGAAACCCUGAUGCAGCGACGCCGCGUGGAGGAAGAAGGUCUUCGGAUUGUAAACUCCUGUUGUUGGGGAAGAUAAUGACGGUACCCAACAAGGAAGUGACGGCUAACUACGUG
rnacentral:rRNA from 1 species